AUGGGAAAUAAGCAAGACGAACUCCAACUCCUAGCACAGCACCACACAUACGAUGUCAUAGGCAUCACUGAAACCUGGUGGGAUGACUCCCAUCACUGGAAUUUAACCAUUGAGGGCUAUAACCUCUUUCACAGAAAUAGAACAAAGGGGAGAGGAGGGGGAGUAGCUUUAUAUGUCAAAAACAGUUACGUUGCAGAAGAAAUGCAAGACUGUAAUCCGGGAAACCAGCUUGAAAGCAUCUGGAUAAGAAUCAAGGGAACCGGGACUCAAAAAGAUCUUGUCGUGGGUGUCUACUACAGACCUCCGAGUCAGGAUGAAGGACUUGAUGAAGCCUUCUGUCAACAGCUGACCAAACAGGCACAAAGAAGAGAUAUAGUAGUCAUGGGCGAUUUCAAUUAUCCCGAUAUCUGCUGGAAAACAAACUCAGCCAAGAGUACAAAGUCCAACAAAUUCCUCACUUGCCUUGCAGAUAAUUUUAUGGUCCAGAAGGUAGAAGAGGCAACAGGGGGAUCAGCAACUCUUGAUCUAAUCUUAACAAAUGUGGAAGACCUGAUCAAUACAGUUGAAGUGGUUGGAUCCUUAGGGGCAAGUGACCAUGUGCUCCUGCAGUUUGCAAUACAAAGGAAUGCUGAAACUAAGACAAGUCAAACACGCAUUCUGGACUUUAAGAGAGCUGACUUCCAAAAAAUGAAGGAAUUACUGAGCGGCAUUCCAUGGACGCCGAUAUUAAAAAACAAGGGAGUUAAGGAUGGAUGGGAGUUUUUCAAAAGUGAAAUACUCAAGGCGCAAAUGCAAACAGUGCCAACAAAGAAGAAAAAUAAGACAAGUGCAAAGAAGCCAGAAUGGAUGUCCAAAGAACUUCUAACUGAGCUAAAGCUCAAAAGUGACAUGCACAAGAAGUGGAAAAGGGGAGAAAUCACCAAAGAAGAAUUCAAACGUAUAGCCAACUCCUGUAGGGAAAAGGUUCGCAAGGCUAAAGCGCAAAAUGAGCUCAGGCUUGCCAGGGACAUAAAAAACAACAAAAAAGGUUUUUUUGCUUAUGUUGGUAGAAAAAGGAAGAAAAAGGAGGCGAUAGGGCCACUGCAAGGAGUAGAUGGGGUGAUGGUGACAGGGGAUAGGGAAAAGGCAGAACUGCUUAAUGCCUUCUUUGCCUCGGUCUUCUCACAAAAAGAAAGCCAUCUUCACCUCAGCAACAUGGAAUGGACGAAGGAUUGGGGGAAAUCCAACCCCAAAUUAGGGAAACAAGUUGUCCCAGGAACACCUGGCCACUCUAAAACGAAUUCAAGUCCCCCAGGGGCCAGAUCAGCUACAUCCAAGAGUACUGAAAGGAACUAG
rnacentral:lncRNA from 1 species